UGGUAAACGCCAGCAUAUCCAAGCGUUUGAGACACCGCCGGCGUCGCCAGAACGAGAGGGAAUGCCAUCGCCGCGACGGUGAGGCCGCGGGCGGAUCGAAGGGACGUGGUGAAUAUCCGGAAAAUGGAAUUUCGAGACACUGAGUUCGCCUGCGCCGAAUGUGUCAUGGGCCUGCCCUCAAGUUCUGCGAUGGCNNNNNNNNNNNNNAUACAGAGCGAACGCGGGCUUACGGCUUUUGGUUCCAAGCGCACCUCGUCCCGAAAUGAUUUGU
rnacentral:misc_RNA from 1 species